rnacentral:rRNA from 1 species
AGUGAGCGCUGGCGGUAGGCCUAACACAUGCAAGUCGAACGGCAGCACAGUAAGAGCUUGCUCUUACGGGUGGCGAGUGGCGGACGGGUGAGGAGUACAUCGGAAUCUACUUUUUCGUGGGGGAUAACGUAGGGAAACUUACGCUAAUACCGCAUACGACCUACGGGUGAAAGCAGGGGAUCUUCGGACCUUGCGCGAUUGAAUGAGCCGAUGUCGGAUUAGCUAGUUGGCGGGGUAAAGGCCCACCAAGGCGACGAUCCGUAGCUGGUCUGAGAGGAUGAUCAGCCACACUGGAGCUGAGACACGGUCCAGACUCCUACGGGAGGCAGCAGUGGGGAAUAUUGGACAAUGGGCGCAAGCCUGAUCCAGCCAUACCGCGUGGGUGAAGAAGGCCUUCGGGUUGUAAAGCCCUUUUGUUGGGAAAGAAAAGCAGCAGGUUAAUACCCCGCUGUUCUGACGGUACCCAAAGAAUAAGCACCGGCUAACUUCGUG